rnacentral:rRNA from 1 species
GUCGCACCUACUGAUUGGAUGACUCGGUGAAAACUCGGGACCGCGAAUGUAUUUGAUUUAUUUCGAGUGUUUUCAUGGGAACUUGUUUUAACCUCGUUAUCUAGAAGAAGGUG